AUGAGGAGAUCAGGAUCUGGGGAUGGGCUGUGGGCGGCCGUGACCCUGCUGGAGUCCGGGGGGCACCUCCAGCCCCCCGGGGGGUCCCUGCGCCUCCUCUGCCGAGUGUCUGGCUUUGAUUUUGGGAAGUUUGGGAUGUUCUGGAUCCGCCAGAGACCCGGGCAGGGGCUGGAAUUUCUCGCGAGUAUCAACAGCGAUGGUGGCUACACGGAGUACACGCCGUCCUUCAAGGGCCGGGCCACGAUCUCCCGGGACAACGGGCAGAGCUUGGUGAUGCUGGCCAUGAGCAGCCUCAGGGACGAGGAUUCCGCCGUCUAUUUCUGUGUCAGACGUUUUGAUGCACGCUUCCUCCUCACCGCCCUCGCUGGCCCCGCGCCCUUCCUCGCCUUUGGGGCUGAAUCCUCCCGGGAGCUCUGGAGACGGCGGCGGCGGUGA